AGCACCCAGGAGCAUGACGGGGUAUCACUUUGAAGCCAGCACCUCACCUGUGCCUUUAACAAGCCAGUGGAUCUCCGAGGCUGGCAUGCGGCUUCUGGGUGAGUCAUUGCUCAGCUUUCGCAGCCAGCCCUGCCCAGUUGCUGUGGGACUGUCCGUCAAGUAUGGUUUCAGCUGUCUCAAUGCAGAUAAAGAAGUAUGACGUCUGUCUGGUCUGUGGAACCAUCUGUGGAUAGGUCAGAAGGAACAGGGCCAAUAGAAGCGUCUGUGUCUGUGAGAGAAGAUUGGAGCAUCUGGGGGUUCCUUUUCUGGAGUUGUCCUGGAUGUAGUAAGCACCUGGACUUGACAAGAUGCUGAAACACACACGUAUGUUAUAUUAGAGGUAGAGAAUAAAGGCUCAAGUCCAAGGAAGCAGCAAGAAGCCACCAGCAUGCCACCAGAAGAUUUUUUUUUCUCUCUAUGGAGUCCCAACAAAUGAUGACCAAUAAACAAUGGUUAAUGUUCCUUCAUGAGCCUGCCUUAGGGAAACAUCGUCUCACCUGUGCCUGCUUCCGGAAAACACUCUUUCUCGAGUCUGCCCCAGCAAAACACCAUAUAACACAACUGACUUUCCAAAGACACCAGAAGUUUCCUCUUCAGUCACCUAACUCUGGUCAUCAUGUGCUCUAUGUCUAACAUCUAAUUUGUGACAUUUGGAUGUCUUUCUCAGGAGGCUAGCAAGGACAAGCCUGUCAGUGGCGUCCUUGUGGUGUGCAGUGUGGACCUCUACAGAUCCUACUUCUGAAUCCUGGAAAGAAGUAAGCCGUUUAGAGGGCAGCCACCCCUUGCCUUUGUAGACCAUAAAAUAAAAGCCCUUCACUCA